rnacentral:rRNA from 1 species
GACAGCAGCAGCCGCGGUAAGACAGAGGAUGCAAGCGUUAUUCGGAAUGAUUGGGCGUAAAGCGUCUGUAGGUGGCUUUUCAAGUCCACCGUCAAAUCCCCGGGCUCAACCCUGGACAAGCAGUGGAAACUACCAAGCUGGAGUACGGUAGGGGUAGAGGGAAUUUCCGGUGGAGCGGUGAAAUGCGUUGAGAUCGGAAAGAACACCAACGACGAAAGCACUCUGCUGGGCCGACACUGAUACUGAGAGACGAAAGCUAGGGGAGCAAAUGGGAUUAGAUACCCCAGUAGUCCCUGUCUCUUAUAC